rnacentral:lncRNA from 1 species
GAGCACUGGGCGGAACACUGCGGCGGCGGCGGCGGCGGGAGCGGCGGCUGCGGCGGCGGCAGCGCAGCAAAGGAGGCGGAGGAGGCGGAGGCGUCGUCCAGCGCGGUCACAUGCAUUCGCAGUCGAGCCUCUGAAGGAAACGGAUGCGUCGAGACAGAACCCACCAUGAGAGACACGGGGCAGUGCGAACCCGGAAUGAAGUUAUGACACAGCCAGAGGAACUUGGGACAGCACGUGAGACGCCAGGACGCCCGACACCCCAAUCACUGGCACCCCCGCUACCGGCCUGUGCGAAUCCUAGUCUCACACAGCGGUAAACUUAGACCUUUGGAUAUGGAAAGAAACCGGAAGGCAUGACCGAGGCAGAAAGACAUUUGCAUACCGAGGAAGUGUGAGACACAAAUAUAGGGACCAAAAUGAGCGACUAAGUAGACCCAAUAACCAGAGGUUUGUUCAGAUAUUUGUCAAGAGUCGACCAUAUUUUUAGGGAUACAUCCUUUAGAAGUUACCGCCUAGAGGAGCUGGGGUUGUAGCUCAGUGGCAAAGGCUUGCCUAGCAUGUGUGAGGCACUGGGUUCGAACCUUAGCAUCUCAUAAAAAUAAAGUCAUGCUGUCCAUCUAAAACUACAAAAAAAAUUAUUACCCUCUAGAGAGGGGAGACACAUAAAUAAAAUCCUCAAGCUGUUAAGUAUGAAGAUAUAUAAAACAAGAGUAAGGAGUUAGUGGGUAGUGAGUUGAGACAUUUUAGAAAGACAUCACUGACUGAGACCCAGAUUAGAACAGAAGAGCAGAAACUUAGACAUAAUGAAAUAUAAACACAAAAGUCGCUAAAACUGAAACAUCAAGAUUUAGAAAAAAACUGGGCGUGGAGCCUCUGCACCAUUUCUGCUAUCUCUGGAGGGUAAAGUAGGAGCGGCAGACCCCUAAUCCUGUUUGGCCAACUGGGAGGUCUUCAUGGCCAUCAACUGUGAACUUUCAGAUAUUAACAAAGAUAAACUAGUCAGUUGCAAAGGAGAAUAAACAAGUCCUUGAAAAACCCUGUGUGAAGGGCUGGGAGUGUAUCUCAAUGGGAGAGUGCAUGUUCAGCAUGUGAGAGGUCCUGGGUUCAGUGUCCAACACCAAAAAAAAC